GGUUUUCUUCCCUAAAAACAACAGGCUGAAGACUAUGGUGAGCCCUGGAGAGCUAAGCCUCACUCAGGAGAUGCCUCAGUCUCUAGAAGCCACAGCAGCAGAGUUGGUCAUGGUUGAACUCCUUGCCUGCAGGGAAAUCCUGAAUCCUGAGAUUCUCUUCAGCUGUGAAGAGCAGCCAGAAAUGGGCUUCUUUUUCUGCCAGGUUGAAACACUCUCCGCCCUGCAAGGCCAGAUGCACCCCUCAGAAAUCCUGAGCCCUGAGACUGUCUUCAGCUGUGAAGACCAGCCAGAAAUGAGCUGCUUCUAUCAGGUUGAAAUGCUCUCCGACCUCCAGGGGCAAACGAUCCUCUCAGAAAUCCUGAAUCCUGAGAUUCUCUUCAGCUGUGAAGAGCAGCCAGAAAUGGGCUUCUUUUUCUGCCAGGUUGAAACACUCUCCGCCCUCCAAGGCCAGGUGCAUCCCUCAGGUGAAACACCCUUUCAGCUACUCCAGCAAAACAAUGCCCUGAAUCCAGACCACACUAGGUAUUUCCCAGGCACAACAGCCACAGAUCACGAUAUGAUGCAAGAUUCUGGGAACAAGGAACCAGACUCCAGCCAGAUGGUCUUACACCCCCUACACCAGAGAUAUGUCUCCUCACCAGGCUACAUCAGGCCCCCACCGAAGGCUAGGAGAAGACUCGCCUAUGACCCUUGAUCUUCCUCUCCCCAGCUGACCCCCAAGAAGUCUGGCCCAAUGCUGGCUGCCUCUGUUCAUUACUAACUACAGAGCUCUCUAGUCACUUCCUCUUCUUAGGAAGCUUCUUUUUCCCUUCUGUUUAAAAGUGUUUCUCUACCUCCCAAAUUGCUCCCAACCUCUAAUUUUUUGAAAAGCCCACACUGGAAUACUGUACAAAUAAAUGGAAAUCCUCAUGGCA
rnacentral:lncRNA from 1 species